ensembl:snRNA U6 U6 spliceosomal RNA
GUCCUGUCUUCAGCAGCACAUAUACUAAAAUUGGAAUGAUACAGAGAAGAUUAGCAUGGCCCCUGUGCAAGGAUGACAUGAAAAUUCAUGAAGCAUUCCAUAUUUUU